CAGAUGGUAGUGAACUCAUGGGU
rnacentral:piRNA from 1 species